AACGAACGCUGGCGGCAUGCCUAACACAUGCAAGUCGAACGAGACCUUCGGGUCUAGUGGCGCACGGGUGCGUAACGCGUGGGAACCUGCCCUUAGGUUGGGAAUAACUCCCCGAAAGGGGGGCUAAUCCCGGAAAAUGUCUUCGGACCAAAGAUUUAUCGCCUUUGGAUGGGCCCGCGUUGGAUUAGCUAGUUGGUAGGGUAAAAGCCUACCAAGGCGACGAUCCAUAGCUGGUCUGAGAGGAUGAUCAGCCACACUGGGACUGAGACACGGCCCAGACUCCUACGGGAGGCAGCAGUGGGGAAUAUUGGACAAUGGGCGAAAGCCUGAUCCAGCAAUGCCGCGUGAGUGAUGAAGGCCUUAGGGUUGUAAAGCUCUUUUACCCGGGAUGAUAAUGACAGUACCGGGAGAAUAAGCUCCGGCUAACUCCGUG
rnacentral:rRNA from 1 species